rnacentral:tRNA from 1 species
UGAUUCAUAGUGUAAUUGGCGAGCACACAAGAUUUUGAUUCUUGGAGUUUAGGUUCGAGUCCUGAUGAAUUAA